AUAUUUUAAAAUUGGAAGUUCAUGCGACAAAAACGAGAAGUGUAUCAUCGAUUUGGGUAUUUCCAUUGCAAUAUCUAUAGUUAUUGUCAUUCUUGGAACUAGCCUAAAUAUUGCAUUCUGGAGAAGGAAAUCGAAUCGGCUCAACAGUAAACAAUCGCAGGAAACCAUGGUGAAUGACGAUUCAGGUAAUCCGGACAUCAACUAUGA